UGAGUUUGAUCCUGGCUCAGAUGAACGCUGGCGGCGUCCUAAUACAUGCAAGUCAGCGAACAGAUAAGGAGCUUGCUCCUUUGACGUUAGCGGCGGACGGUGAGUAUCACGUGGGUAACCUACCCAUAAACUGGAAUAACUCCGGGAAACCGGGCUAAUGCCGGAUAAUAUUUACAACCGAUGGUUCUAAAGGAAAGAUGGCCUUGCUAUCACUUAUGGAUGGACCCGCGCCGUAUUACUAGUUGGUAAGGUAACGGCUUACCAAGGCAACGAUACGUAGCCACCUGAGAGGGUGAUCGGCCACACUGGAACUGAGACACGGUCCAACUCCUACGGGAGGCAGCAGUAGGGAAUCUUCCGCAUGGGCGAAAGCCUGACGGACAACGCCGCGUGAGUGAGAAGGUCUUCGGAUCGUAAAGCUCUGUUAUUAGGGAAGAACAAAUGCGUAAUAACUGUGCGCGUUUGACGGACCUAAUCAGAAAGCCACGGUUAACUACGUGCCACAGCCCGGGUAAUACGUAGGGGGGCAGCGUUAUCCGGAAUUAUUGGGCGUAAAGCGCGCGAGGCGGUUUUUAAGUCUGAUGGGAAAACCCACGGUCACCGGGGGGGUCAUUGAAACUGGAAAAACUUGAGUGCAAAAAGAGGAAAGGGGAAUUCCCUUGUGUAGGGGGAAAAUG
rnacentral:rRNA from 1 species